GGAGUGUUGCGCAGUCAGUUAAGCACAGUCCACUGGCAAAAGUAGUGGGGCUGCCCAGGAGAAAGAUGGCCGCCACCAGCGAGGAAUCGAGUGUUAUGGAGCCUUCUCAGACGAAUUCCGGGCAAAAUCAGCCCGUUGAUCCUCUUAAGAUGCUCUAUCCGAUGGUAAAUGAAGAGGAAACACCGUUGCCACGAUCGUGGAGUCCUAAGGACAAGUACAAUUACAUCGGCCUCUCCCAAAACAAUCUUCGUGUUCACUACAAAGGUUAUGGAAAAACCCAUAAGGAUGCCGCAAGUGUACGUACAACGCACUCAAUACCAGCAGCCUGUGGUCUCUAUUAUUUCGAGGUGAAGAUUGUCAGUAAAGGCAGAGACGGCUACAUGGGAAUUGGCCUCUCUGCCCAUGGGGUUAACGUGAAUAGGCUGCCAGGGUGGGACAAGCACUCCUACGGUUACCACGGCGACGAUGGUAACAGCUUCUGUUCGUCGGGAACGGGACAGCCUUAUGGGCCCACGUUCACCACGGGGGACGUGAUCGGCUGUGGUGUAAAUCUCGUCGAUAACACUGCCUUCUACACGAAGAAUGGACACCACCUUGGUAUCGCAUUCACUGAUCUUCCGCCAAAUUUAUAUCCCACGGUGGGUCUUCAAACGCCAGGAGAGGUAGUAGACGCAAACUUUGGACAGGAACCUUUUGUCUUCGACAUUGACGACAUGCUUAACGAGCUUCGUGUCAAAACAAGAUUGCAAAUAAUAAACUAUCCAACACCAGACCAUGGACAGGGUCAGUGGCAAGCAGUUCUUCAUAAAAUGGUUUCAACAUAUUUAGUCCAUCAUGGUUAUUGUGCUACUGCCGAGGCGUUUGCCAAUAGUACCGGCCAAGGAUUUGAAGAAGAUCUUAACUCCAUUAAAAAUAGACAAAAAAUUCUAAAAUUAGUACUGGCAGGCAGAAUGGGAGAGGCCAUAGAGUUAACCAGUAGACUGUACCCAGGUCUUCUGGAACGGGAUCCAAAUCUUCUCUUCGCUUUAAAGUGUCGGCAAUUCGUCGAGAUGGUGAACGGCAGCGACUCCGAGAUCUCUCAGAACUCUAACAUUAAUCAAACUAGUGUUAUACAGUCAACGAAGGCUUAUACCAAGUCCUCGACAAACGGUAACGUCGAGGAGAUGAAUAUGAACAACGCGAUAAACGGUUCCACAGAACAAUUGCUCGUCAACGGACAAAUCGAGAACGAUGUAGAUAUGGAAGAGAACGUUAUGAACGGUCUGAAAAGUAAUAACGAAAACGGCUAUCAGAAUGGUGAUCUAAAUACCAAUGGAUACAAGUGCCAGAAUGGAGAGGAUGUCGAUAUGGAGACCAACAGUCUUAAUCAAAUUCAGCAGCAGCAGAAUGGAGGUUGCAUUCUAGAGAACACAUUGAAUAAAAGUAAUAAGAAGCAGCUUUGCGGCGGGGACAAACAAGCGAUCGAGAAGAUGUUAGAAUUCGGCAGACAGCUGUAUUCUCAAUCGAUACAUCUGCGACAGCAACACGGAAAGAACGAAAGCAAUAAAAAGAUGCUCCAAGAUGCGUUUAGUCUUCUAGCUUAUGCAAAUCCGUGGAACUCGCCGGUUGGAUGGCAGCUCGAUCCACAACAGAGAGAAACCGUCUGUGCGAGACUCAACUCUGCUAUACUCGAAUCGAGUAAUUUGCCACGACGACCGCCGUUGGAAGUGGCAGCGUCACAUGCGAGAGAGUUGGUACGGCUGAUGUCUCACGCUGGUCUUGGGGCAUGCGGCUUCGCGGUCGUAGACAAUAUCAUCCAAUAUUGACGGUGCCUACCCCUGCUACCACGUCUGCUUCUUCUGCCGGCUCGAGUUUGGAUGUGGAGACGGAACGUGGAGCAGAUAAUACUUUUGCAGCAACAACUUCGCGACAUCGCGUGCCUCUUCAGCUAGAGUCCGCUCUACCGGCAGUUGGCUCUCUGGCUCGAUCUCACGUCUACACCCCAACAGGAAGAACCACACAAGCGAAUAUACAUACACGUAAACACACGCCCGCAGCGAGGAAGAAAUGAAAACCCACCAAAUGUAUGUUACACGAUACGCCACGGGGACGAGGAUGAAUAUGAACCUUCUGACUGUGAUCAUCGAGGAUCAUCGUUACGCCGAAUAGUCCAGAGAACUGAAUAAGACCCAUAAAGAAUGCUGGAGAACAAAGGAUGACGAAAAACUAGGUUGUUGAUCUGAUUUAACACGGUUGUGAAACCAGGAAGAGACGAAGAGGAUGAUGACGAAGGACAAGGUUGAGAUGGAUGCGAAUAAAAAAGAAGUUAAGGAUCACGUUUAAAAAAAAAAGAAAAAAAAGACACCUGCCAAGACGACCCUUUUCUCGUUUCCUCUUUUUAGCCCUGUUAUUCAUCAUCAUCAUCAUCUCGAGGUUGUUCCUUCGUUCCCAAUUAAUUACCGACUGUGUUACCCGUCGUUUUGUCAACGAGGAGUAUACUUUUUAUAUUCGUCUUGUUUAGAGCAGGUAGGUUUAAUAUUAAACCUUAUCAUUUGUUUUCGUCAUCGCCUAACGCCUUCUGUCGUAUCGAAAUUCUAGUAUCACCAUCUGUCGGUUCUAUUAUAUUUUUUUAAGUUUGUUGAAUAUAACCGUUUGCUUCCAGUGCGAUGAAAAAUUUUAAGUUUUGUUUCAUUGUAACAGAUAUAUUGUUAAAUUUAAUUGUAUUAACAGAUUGUUUCAUCCUUAUGUGUAUUUUAACGUUUUGUAUUGUUAAUUAUUGCGUGUACAAAUUAAUUUGAUGCUUAUGACGAAGGAUCAAAGAUUUAUUUCGAAAAAAUUAUAGUGAAAUAUUUAAAUUUUUAAAAUUGUGAUUGAUAAAUAGGCAACGAAUUAAUUUGUACACCUAUUUUUUGAAUGAAUUUUAAAAAGUCUCUCAUCCAUUCAUCGUCGCCCAUUUUUAAACGAGAAAAGAGCCUCGUCUAUACUAAUUAAUUAAUUAAUCCCUCGUCGAUUAUCCUGAUAGCCUUUCUAAUCGUAUCGUCAACGAGUCGAUUUUUGUAUCAAUUGUUAGCUCUUAAAGAAAAGUGAAAAAAGAAAAAAAAAAGAGAUACGUGAAAAAAGAUGAUGAAAUAAAGAAAAUAUUCUUCGAUUAAGUUUCGUUAUUGUAUAUUAUAAGGGAUACGGAACGUUUGAUUCUUUCGAUCGAACAAUGACGAAAGCAAUAAUUUUUCAUUUUGUAAUGAACCUUUUUUUUUUUGGUACUCGUUUUUUCUCUAUCUUUUUUUUUUUAAUCGUCAUACGAAUUUUUUCAACACUUUACAAUCGUUGAGCUGAAUUUCCGUUUGAUUUUACUCGAUCUAGGUUUGCGACUAAUGAAUUUUAAGAACCAAAAAAAUUGUGUACUAGUGAUAUGAAAAAAAUAAGGAGCGUCGUGUGAUUACCAGAAACUUUGUAAAAAAAAUAAGUGAAAAAAUAGAGGAAACCAAAAAAAAAAAUAAUUGAGCGAUCAAUUCGAUGGAAACUAUAUAUACUAUAUAUUGAUUCUGAAUGAUUAUAAAGAUCGAAAAUUAUGACAAGUUAUAUAUAAAGUGCAAAAAAUGAAUAAAAAGUUAUAUAAUUAAAGAGA